CUCCCCCGUCUCCUCCUUUCCCUGUCAUCACACACAACCUACUCUCUCUCUCUCCCCCUAUCGCUCCCUCUCUCCUCCUCCACUUUCUCUCUCUAAAAACGUGAAGCACUAGCAUACAAGAUUGAUAGAUAGAUAGAUUGAUAUAUAUUAUAUAUAGGUUGUUUUGUAUGUAUAGCCGCCUGGUGGGCUUGAAACUCUGAACGCUUGAGCUCUGCGUGUUGAUCAGGAAUAAUGGCGACAGCGCCAGAGAAGCCGCCGCUGCACAACUUCCCACUCACAUUCUUGAAAUGGGGGACUAAGAACGCCACUGCCAACAACCACAACCGCUACCGCCGACCCGCCUCCGAGCCAAACUCCGAAUCAGACCGAUACAACCACGUCGGGUCCUCCCGCGCCGAUCGCCGCCGAUUAUCGGUGAUCCCGUGCUCGGAAAACAAGCGUCGCAGGAGCGAGGAGCGGGAGAGCGAUCAAGAGGAGGAGGAAGCUGAGGUGCUACUUCAGAAGCCCUGGAAUUUGAGGCCCAGAAGACCUCCGGCGACGGCGUCCUUUCAAAAGGCGAGUGGCCCUAACGCUGCGGCUACCGCAAACCGGGAAGCGCAGGAACCAGAGGGGCCAAACCGGAGUCAGAGCGAAAUGAUGCAGCAGCAGCAGCCGAAGUCGAUGAGGUUGAGGGGUCUGGCGGAGGGGCAGAGUGUGGAGAAGAAGAAGAAGGUGAAGAGCAAGUUCUGGAUCGCUUUGUCGAAGGAGGAGAUUGAAGAGGACGUGUUCGUGAUGACCGGGUCGAGGCCCUCCAGAAGGCCCAAGAAGCGGCCCAAGAAUGUUCAGAAACAACUCGAUAGUAUUUUUCCUGGGUUGUGGUUGGUUGGUAUCACUGCGGAUGCUUAUAAGUCUGCACAUUCUCCAUAGGUAGAUUUGUAUGGUGACCUGAAGAUUGUGAUUUUCUCAAAACUGCGUAAAUGGAAGUUGCUGCUGCACCUGUGGAGUGGAAGCCUCAAUUUUUUGAGGAUGGAAGUCAGCUUUAGCUGCUUCUUCAAGUGUCAAUAAACUGGUACAAAUUAUUCUGCAGAGUGUGACAGGUUUCACAUCAUAACAAUUCCAAACCUUCGGAAUCAAAUGUUUUACUUUGCUGUUGUUCUUUGUGGCUGCAGCCUCACAGGGUGUUUGUUGAUUGUUAAAAUUGAUUAAGUGUUCAUAUUUCUGUGCCAGUAUGUAAUUGCCUUCGUUUCAAAGGUAAUAUGAUCGAAAAGUUAAUCAGGUAGCAAGAUUUUGCAGUAUUUUAAGAACCUUGUUGCUUAAUGUGUGAAUUGUCAGCUUGAACUCUGUUCUGGAAUAACAGGACUUGUUCUCUGAUGAAGAUAAUAGAUCUCGAAAUUUUAUGAUCUUGGGUAACUUGAUCUUUUAUUUCCUUUUC